AGUGAACGCUGGCGGUAGGCCUAACACAUGCAAGUCGAACGGCAGCACAGUAAGAGCUUGCUCUUACGGGUGGCGAGUGGCGGACGGGUGAGGAAUACAUCGGAAUCUACUUUUUCGGGGGGGAUAACGUAGGGAAACUUACGCUAAUACCGCAUACGACCUACGGGUGAAAGCAGGGGAUCUUCGGACCUUGCGCGAUUGAAUGAGCCGAUGUCGGAUUAGCUAGUUGGCGGGGUAAAGGCCCACCAAGGCGACGAUCCGUAGCUGGUCUGAGAGGAUGUUCACCCACACUGGAACUGAGACACGGUCCAGACUCCUACGGGAGGCAGCAGUGGGGAAUAUUGGACAAUGGGCUCAAGCCUGAUCCAGCCAUACCGCUUGGGUGAAGAAGGCCUUCGGGUUGUAAAGCCCUUUUGUUGGGAAAGAAAAGCAGCAGGUUAAUACCCCGCUGUUCUGACGGUACCCAAAGAAUAAGCACCGGCUAACUUCGUG
rnacentral:rRNA from 1 species